UACGUAGGUGGCAAGCGUUGUCCGGAAUUAUUGGGCGUAAAGCGCGCGCAGGCGGUCCUUUAAGUCGGAUGUGAAAUCUCCCUGGCUUAACCGGGAGAGUGCAUUUGAGACUGUCAACCUGGAGGGCAGCAGAGGAGCGUGGAAUUCCGGGUGGAGUGGUGAAAUGCGUAGAGAUCCGGAGGAACACCAGAGGCGAAAGCGGCGCUCUGGGCUGCACCUGACGCUGAACUGCGAAAGCCAGGGGAGCGAACGGG
rnacentral:rRNA from 1 species